UGAGCUUCAGAGUCUGGAGCCCUGAUAACACAAGCUUUCCUGCUUUUGCAAGCACUGACAUAUUUGCAAUGGAAUGGAAAAGGAACUGGGACCUUCUCUGCAGCCCUGCAAGGGGAAAGGCAGCUCCAGGACCGUGGCCCAUGUGUGGAGUUUAUCUGGCCAUUGGCAUCUCCAGAUGCAUGCCUUUCUGACCAGCAGCAAAAGACUGAAGAGUGAAAGCACUUUAAUAUUGCAGAGCACCUACGUGGAGACAAGUGGAUCAGUUCUCCUGCCUGAGUGUCCUUCUCUGAGACUCCUGGGGGGAAGAGUCCAUCCCAUAUAUGCUCCUGGUGGGACCAUUUGUUUCCCACAGGGGCAUAGCCCAUCAAAUCAGCACUGCCAGCUUGCCGCAGAAAGGGGGGCCAGGAGUCUGGAGCAAACUAGUCCUGCAGCAGCCCUGAAAAAAGAGCAAGCCAUCUAAAAAGAAAAGAGAUCAUUAAAUUUCCUUUCCACGUGGUGAACGAAGAAGCUUUUACCUGUGGAAGAAAGGAAGUGUUCUUUUUGUUAGCUUCAUCCAGAGAGAAAGAAAAUCUUUGAGGUAUUUUCUGGCACGUGGCUCCUGUUAGGUUUCAGCCAGCUGAGCUGCUCUCAAAAGCACUGGAAUGUAAUUUCAGCAAUAAUCAAUCAGCAGAAAUGGAGGCAGUGAGGGUGUUCUGUUGCACAGAAGUCCUGGGUGAAAACCCAUACGCUGUGGCUAAGAACACAAAUUUAACAAACAUGAAUCUGGAGAGCUGAAUUCCUGGAACCUCUCUCUGCCCUGAACGAUGGAAAAUUGAAGUCAUUUCUGGAUGGGGGAUGGUGCUUUUCAACUCCAAUUUCAGUCAAUUGACUCAAAUUCAUUUGUGAACCUUUGGCACUGCUGCCGAAAAAAUUUAAUUUCCCGCCAUUUUUUUAAUUUCUUGCUCAGAAUGUGUAAGUACUAAAUUAGACAUAGAGCUUCUGGCGUAAGCCAGCAUAAUCCUUUUACCGCUGAAUCAUUCUGUUAUAUAGUGUUUUGACCACUCUGUAUGUGUGUGAAAUUGCUGUCUAAAAUGUAUUGCUUAAAAUUGGUAUUUGCCUGUUUUGGACAAAUCUUUUAGAAAAUUCUAAAAGGAAAUAAUGCAGAAUAAAGAAACCUACUCUUUAGUCUCUUGGGUCGGAAACUCUUGAGUUCUGCAUGGUUUCAAAGUGCUUUUGAAAGAGCUGAAAUGGUUCGGUGUCAUACUACAAUGGUGUAAUUUUUUUGUAGGCUAGUUAAAUUAUUUUCAUGGGACAAAGAAAUCCCUUACGCAGUGUUGUAUUUGCAAAGGAAUGAGUAGUGUGCUUGCAUUGUUCUGGGAUCAUGGAAGCAUGCUAGUCUGAACAAGCUGAGCUUGGUCCAGACCAGCACAAAAUAAUGACUGAUGUUUUGAUGAGAAUUCAGUGAUGUGCAACAAGGGUUGAUAUUCUGCCAUGACAAAGGGUAGAUCCCAGCAGUGAAGCCAAAACAAACAAACAACAAACAAACAAA